CUUUGCGAUACCGGGUCGGGCGUCAACAUAAUGGCCGCAGUCACCUAUCAGCUCCUGUUCAGAACCAUGCCUCUAAAACCGACAUACAUUCAGCUCCAGAUGGCAGAUUAGACAUUCCGAAAGGUUGAAGGUAUAGUAACUGAUGUCCCUGUCAAAAUAGAUGAUAAUUUUAUCUAUACAGAUUUUCAGGUUAUUGACAUGGGAGAAGACGAGUAAGAUCCACCCAUCAUCCUUGGGAGACCGUUCCUCAGCACCGUUAAAGUAAUCAUCUACAUUGGAACCGGAGAAGUCCACAUGCACUUCCCCUCUGAGAAGGUACGCCGCUAUUUUACUGACCCUAACUAUGUAGUUGAAGACUCUAAGCAGGUCAGGACAAGAAGAAGACGACGCAAUCGCAACCAGAGGAGGCAAAUCAUCAAGGACGGAUGGGCAGACUACGAAGGAGAACUGGUAAGGUCUGAAGACAUACAACUUGAACAGAACUGUCCUAAGGAGAUCGUAGCACCGAGUCAGGUGUGUAGAGAGAAGAUAGUUAUACAUGAAGAGCAGGCGCCGCCGGAACUACCGACUACGCCAUCCAGCGAAUCCCAGGACGAUUGAGAAAACGAAGAGUCCCGUUCGGAGGACUUAAAAACACCGAACGCCUUGCCAAGAGGUAAACUUGGUAGUUAUCCUUUUCCUUUGAAUUAUUUAAAAUAGUUUGCUUAAUUAAUCAGGUUCAUAUCAUCUUGAAAAGAAAAUAAAAAUGUUAAAAAUAGUAAGCCCCAUGUGAGUAUGCUCAUGGCAUAAAACCCAUAAGUACAUUCACUCUGGUGGCAUAAAAUAAAAUAAAUAUAUUUAUGUGCUAUAAAAAUAAAAAUAUAAAAAUAAAUUUAUGAUCCUACCAAAGAGUGUAACAUUUAUUGAGGAGGCUCAAUAUGAUAAAGGCUAGAUAUUUAUGCUAACACUUAACUAGUUCCACAAAGCUUUGUUGUCUAUUUGAGCUCCACAGAAUUCAAGGAUCAAAGAAGACUCGCAGACGGAGGACAUCCUAAUCGCUGUCAGGGUGCUGCCGACAUUCAAAAACACCUCUGCCACCUGCUAGCUACAUCAGGAGAAAUUACGUCAAAAUCCAGCUUGGGGGAGAGCAACCCACUUGUCCAGCUAAGUGUUUUACUCAUGUUUAUACUUUACUCAAAUAAUAAAAAGUUGCAUAAUCAUAAAAACCCAAAUAAAGAUUUUGUGCUUAUAUAUAUAUAUAUCUUUGCUUAUUUUGCUAAAUAAAUAAAUAAAUAAAAUUUGCUAUGAACCUUCGUGAUAAGCUCUCAUAUGGAAUUGAUGAAUAGUUGUUAUGCCAUGACAAGUUCUCAAAAUUGAAAUCUCUCUCAAGUUUAGGCAUGACUAUUAUUAAUUAAGAUUUGCUCUAAACCUAAACUUGUGGGAAGAGUACUUAUCUAAAGUCUAAGUUGUUAACGGAUAUGAUAUGGGAAGGUUGAGCUGCUGUUUAUCUGUUCCUAGAGAUGCUAGAAUUCUAGAGAAUUUUAUCUUUGAAAAUCUUUAAAAUAUCACAUGAUGAGUUCCUGUAUGAUGAGAGUUUAAAAUCCUACCAUAGCCAUAUACACAUGCUUAUUAGACUAUGAACCAUUCAUUUAGUUUACUGCUUAUGAGCAUUGAGUGUGGUCAAGCUGUGUAGACCCUUAGGAGCUUGUCAUGUGGUUAAAUCAAGAUUCACUUGCACGUUCACUCACACAUACUGCUUCUACUCCGGAAGUACGCAUCCACAUAUAUCCACCCAUUUCCAUCUCCAGAACCACCGAAAAAUAUUCUACUCUUAAUCCGGGAUAGAAUAGCCAAAAACAUUCUCCUAUUUCUGUUUUCCCCUGUGAAAUAAAUGCUCAAGUUAUUUCGGUUACUACUACUUGGUACAUUAUUUAAAGAGGUGAGUGCUCUAAAAAAAGAAGAUACGAGAAAAUAAAAAGGGGCAAGUGCCCGGAACCUCGAAAGAAAAGAAAAAGUGAGACGAGAGGUAAAAAUGGACAAGUGUCCGACACUAGAAUUAGGGGUACAAGAUACCCACCUGAGAGAAAAGAAAAAGAAAAUAUAGAGCAUCUCAUUCUCCUCAAAAGCCUCAAGUGCAAGGAAGGUAUGUACCCCCUCAAAAGAGCAAAAGUAGAAUUAGACUUCCACCAUUAUUUUCACCAUUAUCACCAUUCAUUAGCCACACAUGCACACCUUGAUUUGACUUAUUGACUCGUUCUUCUGGAUCCAUGGUUUGACUAUGCAAUAAAUGUCUUGUAAGUAUGUAUUAGCUGUCUCCCACCUAUGAGCUUCAGAUAUCAAAACCUUAUUAGAGUAGGGUGAGAGAGAAGGCAAUGCCAUUAUGCCUCAUACCAAAAAUACCACAUAGUUUGAGAGAAGGCAUACACCAUUACUGCCUUGGUAAGGAUCAGAAAUACCACAAAAGAGAGACUAGAGAGAAUCAUACAAGGAAUCUCUGAGUUUUAUUUGAAAAUCUGCAAAAACUCCAGAGCUAUAGUUAAUCGAAGAACAAGAGACAUGGCAUUUGACUAGACCGUUCUAUCUUUUAACUGCUCAAGACACAAGUAACGGUUGCAAGCUCCAUGGUGGAAGGAAAAAUGAGUAAGUUUAAAUCUUAACAGUUUACCCUAACCCAGAGAUGAGAUCUUGUUUGAACGCAUGUAUAUCUUUAAGGCAUGAAACCACUGCAGAAACUCUUAAGUUCAUCUUUGCUCAGGGACGAGCAAAGGUUAAGCUUGGGGGAGCUUGUUGACGGUCCUUAAUGCUCACAUUUAACCGUCAACCAAUCAUGGAAAAGGAUCCAAAUGCAACUGACACCCAGACUUAGGGUUUUAUGUGACAGAAUUCCACGAGUUUUAGUGUUUGUCUAUUUCUGCAGGGGGUUAUCAGGAAAUACGGAGGAAAGGCCCACACGUCGGGUUUACAUAGAGAUAUUAACGUGCCGCGCAAUUUUCUAUCAUCUAGAAGACUACAGAAGCCACGAGAACGAAGCGGAGGCAGAACGGGGCCUGGCCCAGGGCGCCCGCCCUAGAGACCAGGGUGCCCGCCCACCUUCUGUGCCCAAUCAGAGUCCUUUUCGGGGAUCAUGCUCCACCGACCUAAGGGAUCCAGGAAAACCGUGCGAUUAAUGUCGGUUUGAUCCGACGUCCCAGAUUCAUCUGAAAAGACUAUAUAAGCAAGGCCCCCUGGCCCCUGGAGGCAUACCUCUUCUACAGAAUCAAAGCUAGGGUUUCAAUUCUUCAUCCAAGUAGAGAGGAUCCCUCUGGUUCAUCUAGUUCUAGUUCCUCUAGUUCUAGUUCUAGUUGUAAUCUAGAAAAUAGGGAGAGAGAAGAGGAGAGCGGAGGAGGAGCCGGAUCUGUCGAAUCUUCCUCAACAUUAUACUUUUGCUGCAACUGGUUUGUUCUUCAUUGUUCUCCAAGUUCUUCAAUUCAUAAUUCCUAAGUUCCUUAAUUACUUUUAUUUACAUUCAAGUUAUUUAUUGGAUUCCCACUUGCAUCAAGUGCUCUAGUCUUUAUAACGCUAGAGUAGUAAUUAAUAGAUUAGAUGUGGUGUUUAGUCUUGCAAUUACCUGGAAUUGCACCCAAUCCUGCGGAUUGUUGUGGUAGCCCUAGGGUAGUGAUAGCCCUAACGGUCGACGUAUUCCACCUCGUUUGGAUCGGUGUUUAUAGGACCAUAGUCAGAGCUUCCUAGCCCCCUUCUCAUCUCUUUGUGUGGUUAGUGUUCUAAUGUCCCGAAAUAAAUAAUCUUUGAAGUAAUUCUUGAUUCCUAGAUCAACUAGAGAACUCUCAGGAAACUUCCUCUCUUCUCUCCAAAAAUAAUUAUAUAGUUAUCCUUGGGCGAUCUUGAAUCUUAGUUAGUACACUCACGUUCCCUAUGGAAAAUCGAUACUCUGGAAUACUCCUGGGUGAAAGCUACAUCGGUAUUCGUGCGCUUGCGGAUUUUUUUGUUUGCGUUUCAAAUACCCAACAUACUCGUGGGCACAGAGGCGCAUCUGAUGCCCUAGUGUCUAACACGUCAGGUGCAAGCUCUAGGGUUUGAGACCCUUAGCGUCCGGUGUAAGGAGAUGUGUGUGACACGUUUGAUGUGAGCUGCAGUUGUUCAUUAAGUUUUCCAGUGACCGUUGAAGAUCAACCGGUCACAUUCAAAGAGUGACACGUGGUAGAAAUCUAAUGUGCAAGGCAGACAAACAUUAGAUGCUAGGCUCCGUCUGAUGUGCAAGCAUUUGUGCGCGUCUGAUGCCCUCGUAUUUGCUCCUAAAGGCUAGCACAUGAGUGAAAUGUUAUAAAUAGAAGGUGGCUGAGUUUAGGGAGCUCUCUCUAGCCAAUAUGUAUACUCGAGGCAUACUUUGAGCUAGAGAAUAUCCUUUCCACUAAUCUCCUUGCUUGAUUGUUCACCCUAGUGAGAUUCAAAUGCAUCGCAUUGAGAAUUACAUCUAGCGGCACUUGGUCCUUGAGUUGGCUAUGAUUUUCUUGUUAUUCUUAGGUGUUUCUCGACACCCGAGAUGGCUUGGAGCAACGGUGGUGUUGAGCUCAUGAUUGAAGAAUAUUUUGAGCCUCACCAAGUGAUUUGUGAGGGGUUUUGAGCAUUCCUUGUGAGAGAUGACAAUUGGCUACUCUUGUGGAUUACUCAUGGCUUGGAGGAUCCCCAUCUUAUGAGUGGAUGUGUGGCACCCGCUGAGGGUUUGGCUUUGGAUUGCUAAUUAGCUCAUGAUCCAUCAAGUGGGUGUAUUGCCACAACGAGAACUAGCUUGCUGGGAAGCAAGUGAACCUUGGUAAAAAAUUAUAUGUCAUCUCUUGUCGAAGAUUUUGUUGACACCGUUUUUGGACACGUGCACGGGGACCAGUAGAGUACAGAUCGGCAGAUGGAGCAAUGGUAACUAGACUGCAGAAGAGUUGCCGAUGAAGAGGGUUGCCGAUUAAGAAGAUUGCCGAUGGCUCUGAAAGGGAGCGCGGAGGUUGCCGAUUGGCCCGUAGUGGUGUCCUGGUUGGUUAUAGGGGGAUAGUUUUACGUUUUCCUUAGUUAUUUAAAUUUGUUUUGUAUACGGAUUCUGUUUAAUUUGAAAUUCGAGUCCUAGUCAUGUCUGAUUGUAGCUCUUUGAGCAGGGUAUAAAUGUAGACCCUAGGGCCUUGUAAUGAACAUCUAUCAAUCAAUCAAACACAAGUUUUUACUCAUAUUCCAGCAUCUACUUUUUCGACGACUUCGUCAUAUUUUCCCUUUUUACUACGAGUUCUUAGGAAUUCGUUGACUUAAGCUCAGCGUAUUCUCGAGUUCCGCGUGAAUACCUCUUGGCUGUGACAUCCGGGCACAUCGCUGUUGUCAGGACUAAAGUAUUCGAGUUAUCACCUUUGCCGAUAGUAAGGUCAAAUCGGCUGGCAAGCCUUAACGUUUGAAUCGGGUAUUAGCUCUUUGUGUUUGCAGAUCCACUUUUGCAUCAACACAUCUUUUGGCAUGCCUAGUGGGACUCUAGAUUCAAGAUCAAGAUCAAUAUGUCGACUACCGAGUUCGAUAUGGAGAACGUCAUCCCGGUGACGGAAGCCAAUCUCAGAGAUGAGCAGAAGCAAACUAUUGCAAAAGCCAUGAAGGACUACAAGCAGCAAUGUUUGAAAUCCUUCAGCAUAAAUAGGAGCGGCGAGGUGAUCCAGAAGGAGGCACUGCCGGCACCUUGGCAGGUUACUUUUGACGCCAAUCCUCGUAAACUCCAAGACAUGGUUGACAGUGCUAUUAACCGUGCCUUGAUCAAUCAAGCUGGUGUAUUGUCCAAUACGGUUUUCAAUGCCGUGGCUAGAACUUUCAAAGAGGGACAAUUGCCACCAAAUUAUGUGGGCCCUUCUCAUCAUCAGCCAGGAUCACCGGUGGUCACAGCUCCAUCGGUUGCUGUAGGCGCUGUGGGCAUAGAAACUGCUAUUCCUCCAAGCACGUUGGGAGUUACUAAUACACAAUCCACACCGAUGCUAACCAAUCCAUCAACUUUAUAUGAGCAAAUCAAACUUGCUACAGAUCUAUUCGCAUCGGUGAUGUCGGGAUCGGUUCCUCCUCCUAACUGGUGGGGUCAUGGUAUGCCCCUAGGGUUGACAUUGAAGACACCUGGCGCAUCUCAGACGGCUGAUGUAAGAGGUAAGGCUCCUAUGGCAUCGACAGCUCCAAAUUUGCCGAUGAAUCAGAGUCUCCAGUAUACUACAACUACUACUGCAAGACCUUACACUGGGAAUUCUCAAGCUCCAACGUUCCAGAUGCCUAACGCAUCGACAGAUUCAAUGCCGACGCAGCAGAGGUUUAUGAUUCAGCCAGAGUAUGUCAACUCAAUGAUGAUGCCCAAUUACCAGUCAUCGGUAGGGUCUAUGCCGAUGAAUGUUAACAGUGGAUGGACAGGGCAGUGAGUCUUUCCACAGAUGCCUCAACAGAAUCAUCAGGCCACAGGGUUUCAGCAAGGCCAGAUCCAACCUAGGUUCCAAAAUCAAGGGUUGGUCAACCAGCCGAUGAAUCUUGGCCAGCAGAUUGGUGGUCAACAGAUCGGUGGUCAGCAGAUUGGUGGUCAACAGAUCGGUGGUCAGCAGGUUGGUGGUCAGAUGAUUAACCCAAUGUUCCAUGUAGACCGCACACCGUAUAGACACGUGGAAGCCUAUCAGCAGGUGCUAGAUCCGCAACCGCCUCAUCGGCAAGAUGUCGAUGCUUAUUGGGCCGAUAAGAUUACUGAAGUAAUGAGGGACCAAUUUGGGAUAAAGCCCAAAGUUAACACUUACUCUUAUCGGACACCGUAUCCUCCUGCAUACGAUUUAAUUCCACUUCCAAAUCGGUACAAGGUACCAGAUUUCACUAAGUUUUCUGGACAGGAUGAUACAUCAACCAUGGAACAUGUCAAUAGGUUCAUCAUCUAAUGUGGAGAAGCUGCUAACAGAGAUGAGUUAAGGGUUCGCUUGUUCUCAUCAUCUUUAUCUGGAUCGGCUUUCACCUGGUUUAUUUCAUUGCCUCCUAACUCAGUGAUUACUUGGGCCGAUCUAGAGAAGCAAUUCCACAAAUACUUCUUUUCUGGAGUUCAUGAGAAGAAGAUUACUGAUUUGGUUAAAUUGAAACAACGCAAUGAUGAAUCGGUUGAAAGUUUUGUGCAGAGAUUGCGGGAGGUCAAGAACAAAUGCUAUAGUCUGGUUUUGGACGAUCGGCAGCUAGCCGAUUUGGCUUUCCAGGGUUUGUUGCCACACGUCAGGGACAAGUAUGUCUCUCAAGAAUUCGAAAGCUUAAGUCAUUUGGUGCAGAGAAUUUCUGAUCAGGAUAUCAGACCUUUCGAGCCCAAGAGAGCAUGGAACAAAAAAGUGUCAUUUGUUGAUGAAGCAACAGAUUCAGAUUCUGAUGAGGAGCCAGUCAUCGGUUUGGCAGACUGGGUAAAAAACAAGAAGCCGAUGACUUGCCCUUUUGGGCAUAAAGAGCCGGAGAAGUUUGCAUUCGAUAUCACUAAAGCCGAUAGAAUAUUUGACUUUCUACUUCAGGAAGCCCAGAUCAAGUUGUCACCCAAUCACGUGAUUCCAUCGGCUGAGGAAUUGAAGAAAAUGAAAUAUUGCAAGUGGCAUAAUGCGACUUCUCACAGCACCAAUGAGUGCAAGGUUUUUAGGCAACAGCUGCAAUCGGCUAUAGAGUCUGGGAGAAUAAAGUUUGAUAGUUCUAAAGCUCAGAAGCCGAUGAAGAUUGAUCAACAUCCUUUCCCAACAAAUAUGUUGGAUGCUAAGGGAAAGACCAAGGUUUUAACAUCAGAAGCGGCUGAAAAGAGUGCAUCGGUAGAUCCUCAGCACCACAUUACUCCUACCGAUGCCAAAGGAAAAUGUCUGAUCCUAGAAGGAUCUAACUCGGGAAGGCCUCCCCGAUCCGGUAUUGUGAUAACUCAUAGAAGGCCUCGGGAGACUUGGCAGCAACGUGAAGAUCGGUAUCGGCGCUAGCAAGAAGAUUAUCAUCGGGAAGAAGAAAGACGCCGACGGGAGUGGAAUCGGCACAAGGAUCACUGGAACUACCCGUUCUUUAUCCAUUGCUGGGAGCAGAACAUUAAACUGCUCACUGUUAGGGAUUGCCCUGAAUGCAAUGGCUAUGAUCGGUAUGACAGGUCUUAUCGGCGCUACCACGAUGAUGAUCGGCGGUUUAAUGGGCCGAUUAGGGGGAGAGCGUCAGUUCAUGAUCGGCUUAGAGGCAGACUCAGUGUACACGACAGGCUUGGUGAUCGUGUUGCAUAUUUUCCCAGGAACCAAGAAGAGCUCGAAGAGAUGGCUAAUGCACAAGUUCCCGAUGAGUUCGUAUUUUGCAGGGAUGCCAAUACUCAUCGGAUGGAGCCAAGAGAACAUCGUCGUCCAUCGGCAAGGCAGUCACCAUUUCCCCCAUGGUGUCCAGAGGGAUUGACUAAGACACAGAAGAGGAGACUGCAGCAUGAGAGACGAGAAGAGCUAAGCAAGGGCGAAAACUCUGGACAGUCUGAUCAACAGCAGCCGGAUCCAAAGGGAAAGGGACCAUCGGCAGGUGUCAACAUGGUAUUUAUGUUGCCGAUGGAAUUCCUUGCGCCAUCCAGUGAUGACGAGGAGUUGGAGUUUUCCGACCAGAUAGCUCAGUUGGCUGUAGAUCCGAUGACACCUAUCUUUGAAAAGCCUACCGACAAUGAAAGGCAGCAUCUUAAAGCUCUAUUUGUCAAAGGAAGAGUUGAUGGUCAGCCGAUGACCAAGAUAUUAAUUGAUGGAGGAGCUGCUAUCAACAUCAUGCCAUACGCAGUUUAUCGGAAGCUUGGAAAAGGGGAUCAAGAUUUGACCAAGACCGAUAUGAUGCUGAAGGACUUUGAAGGGAAUGUAUCUCCGGUUAAGGGGGCUGUUGAUGCAAAACUGAUCUGCAAACACAAAGGGCUAAUACCCGAUUCAAAUGUUAAGGCGUGCCAGCCGAUUUGACCUUACUAUCGGCAAAGGUGAUAACUCGAAUACUUUAGUCCUGACAACAGCGAUGCGCCCGAAUGUCACCGCUAAGAGGUACUCACGCGGAACUCGAGAACACGCCGAGCUUAAGUCGACGAAUUCCUAAGAACUCGUAAUAAAAGGAAAAAGUAUGACGAAGUCGUCGAAAAGUAGAUGCUGGAAUAUGAGUAAAAACGUGUGUUUGAUUGAUUUCUUGAUUGAUGAUCUAUUACAAGGCCCUAGGGUCUACAUUUAUACCCUGCUCAAAGAGCUACAACCAGACAUGAUUAGAAUUCGAAUUCCAAAUUACACGGAAUCCGUAUACAAAACGAUGCAAAUAAUUAAGGAAAUAACAAAACUAUCCCUCAUGACAAACCAAAACUCCUCCACAUAACGACCGGCAGCUUCCGGACUCCCUCUUUGCAUCAUCGGCAGACCCUUUGCCAUAGUCAUCGGCAGACUUUCUUAUCUAGCCAUCGGCACCAUAUUACUGCCUGUGGACUUAAUCACGUUCAACCUCUCCCUCAUCGGCAACCAUCCUCAUCGGCAACCCACUUUGUAAACAUCGUACUGCCACCUUAUCCUGCCAUCCCAGACACGUGCCCAAAAACGGUGUCAACACAUGCCCCCCAGUUUCGGAGUAUAAAACUAUUAAUGCUCCGAAAUUCUCUGCAGUAAUGAUGCCUUUUCCCGCAAUUAAUGCUCCUAAUCUGGUAACCAACAACCUCAAUCUGAACAACUCUGAUCCUAUUCCUCCGCAGAUUUCUCGAAAUCCCCAACUUUCUAAACGGGCAUUUUUCUCAGCCGUACAUCGGCAACAAUACCGUUACAAAGAUCUGCCGAUGUUCUGACCAGGAUAUUCGCACAAACGGUUACUUCCCCUCUAUCCGCCCAUCGGCAAUAUGACCGUUGUAGAAUAUUGCCGAUGGACCGACCAGGAGAUCUCGCACAGUAAAAUAUCUUCAGAUAAUGACCGCUUCCUGUCAAAUCACCUGCACAAUCCCUAGAUUACCGUGCGAAUAGUUACCAUAUCCACCUGAGUACCCUCGGAUUUCUCGGAUGCGGCAAAGAGAUAAGUCGGAUUUGCCCUUGCCCAUUUUGUCCUAUAAAUAGUUCCUUCUCGGGUACUCCUUCCCCAUCACACCAUUCUACUACCCAACUUUACUUUUCCAGCGGCGGCGCCACCAAAAACUCCCAAGGUCUCCGACAAGUACCCCUCUUCACCAAUUCCGGCGCCUUCAAACGCUUCCUUCGCAGCAAGAUGGCCGUCGGGUUCGUCGUCCCUGAGGUCAAAUCUCCACCCCGUCUUCUGUAUUUUUCUUCAUAUCCCUAUUCACUCGCAAUCCAUUUUACUGAACAUCUUCCUUUUCUUUCCUCUUUGUAUUUCUUUUUACGCCCAAAAUCACUAGGAAUUGUCCAACAAAAUUGUCAUCCCCACCGAUCAACCACACCUUCAAUGCCUCGGCCCUCUAGGGGACCCAGAUCCAACUGACCUUAUCAACGCAGAAACCAACAGGAUCCCCUUCAGAGCCGAAAAUUUUUCCUUAGAUCUGUGGAAGGACACCUUCCGCUCUUGGCCCAGCCCAACUGUAGGGUGGAAAGACUGGUUCUUGAGGGUCAGCAACUCUAAUGAAGUUCAGUGGGGUGAAAGGAAUCUAGCCCAAUGCAUCAGAUUGUCCAUUGCCGAUAUGCAUAGAAACGAGUCACUGCUGAUAGCUGCAUCCUACUUUUGGUCAGACACCCUCAAUGCUUUUGCCUUUGGCCACGGCCCUGCUUCUCCUACUCUUGCCGAUGUAGCCAUGCUUACUGGUCUAGAUAUAUCUUCUACCGAUAGCACCCACUUUUUUGAUACUGCCCCUAGUGCCAAAGUGGAGACCCGCGCUAUCGGCGAUUGGUCGGGGUACAUUCAGAAGUACCGUGGGAAAGGAUCUGUCACCAUAAAGGAACAAACCACCUUUCUGAACAUGUGGCUGGACAAGUUUGUAUUCUGUGGUCGAUCGGCAGGACCGACUUCUGUCUACCUAUCGGCAGCAGAAAGACUGGCUAACGGUGGCCGAUUCCCUCUCGGCCGAUACUUGCUUGGCGCUGCUUACCACCUUCUCCAUCAAGUAGCCCAGAAACUUCUGCUCGGCCAAUCCACUGGCAAUUUGGGAGGCCCCUGGUGGUUUGUCAACAUGUGGCUCAAUCUGCAUCUGCACAAGCGUCUCAACUUCAACCUGUUCACACAGCGUUUCCCAAGAGAUAUAGCUGAAAACCAUGUAUUGGGUGAAGAGGAAUCGGCAACACGCGCCCCCUUGUACUUUGGCAAAGCUGUCAUAGUUCUGCCUGGUUCAGGGGGUAAUCCAGAUCAGAUCGGCCGAUUCUUCCAGACUCUGUAUGAGGGUUUGACCAGAGACGAACGACCAUGGUUGGCUUAUGAUGACCCAGAUAGCAUGCUCCCUCUGACCUUCAAUCCAUUUGAUGAAGCUCUCGACAGGGACAAUGAGGUGAUGAUGGCAAUUGUGACUCCCAGAAUCAUUCCAGUGAAUUUCUUUGGUAGCACAAAAACCUCCCCUCAAACUUACGAAUUUUACAAUCCAUCGGCAUUAGCUCGCCAGCUAGCUUUCGGCCAGUUGCCGAUUGCACUUCCUUAUGCCGAUGUGAUAAAACCCAGAGAAACUAUCAACAACCUUCUUGAGUGGACUCGAGCAGCCCAACUACCACCAAACGCCGAUAUAGAUGUAGAUCUGUCAGAAUGGGUCCCGGCUGCUUUUAUCACUCAGGCAUACAAGUUAUGGUGGGCAGAAUGGAAAGAGCAUCUGUUCUGUAGAUCGGCACUUUCAUUCCGCGGCAUGAUUGACUCCGAAUACGAAGUUCCUGAUGACACUGUAAGUAACUCAAACCAACGUUUCAUUUUCUCAAUAUUACCUCCAUUGGCAGCUUACCCUUGUAUUCCUUUUGCAGGUUGAUAAUAUUCCUCCGUUGGUUAGCAGGAGUGGCAGGCCGAUCGACUUGUUUCCAUCAGGCCCGAUUUCCUCAAUCGGCCACAAUGCUCCCACUCUAGCUUCCAUCGUGCAUCGGGGUGUACGUCUCAGGAAAGUCACCACCAGAAGAACCCAGACAUCACCAACGGUAGCUGCUCCCACUCUCGCGCGGGCUUUCAAGGCAAUUUGUCAAAUCUUUUCCUUUAUGCUGACCAUCUUUAUAUCGGCUAUAUUUAUGCUUAUAAACUCUUGUUCAUUAUUGCAGCAAACCGGCGCAUCGGCGAAAACCAGGCGUGAGAGUACCGAUGCCCCCAGUCUAGCCAACCCAAGAGAAAGGGCACCACGGGUGCUAAGACUGGAACAAAGCGCCAGAAGGUAGCAAUCCCCCCUCCUCCUCCGGUAUCUCCAAUUCCGGUGGAAUCUUCUCCUUCUUCUCCAGAAGCCCAGCCACAACAAGCACCAUCUCCCCCACCUAUGCGGGAAGCACCACAGAUAGAAGAACCCCAACAGGAAGGAUCUCAAACAGAAGAUACAUCAGUUGACAUGGGUGAACAAACAACUGGCCCGGUGGGUCUAGUUAUACCAUCGGCAGUUCUCCCGGUUCAAACAACCGUUGUCCCUCCUCCAGGUAACAUACUUUAACAAUAUCGCUACCGAUGAACUUAUUCUUAUUUAGUCUCAUAACUCCUUUUGUCUUCUUUCAGUUGAUAUUGUUCCAUCGGCAAUCUCAGCCGAUCAACCUGUAGCUCCAUCGGCAUCUUUGGCCGAUCAGCCUGCAGCUCCAUCAGCACUUCUCAGUCACAGACAAGAGAUCGCCUUGAAGCAAGUAAGUCACCGUUUACCGUUAGCACUAUUUGCCGAUUUUCUAAGUAUGAGCUAAUUUUGCUUUCCCUCCCAGGAACAAGAUUCUCCCGAUAGCCUGUUCUCCUUCGCCAUCAAUUUCUCUGAAGAAGAAGGUGAAGAAGCAAGCACUUCUUAGACGGUCGGCAUCACAUCGGCAGAGGUCAGGGUCAGGCUGGAAGAAUUGUCAGCUCUCCUUCACCAGGACACAGCGCAAUUGGUUGAUGACUCCGACCCUACCAAGACCCUGUUCAGAACUCUCAGAGGCCAAAUCCCAGCCGAUGUUGAAGAAAUCCUGUUCCAAGCCGCUCAUCUGGAGAGUCGCCAGCUGCAGUACCAAAGAGCUUCUCGGCGGCUUGCCGAUAGAGCCGCUCAGACUCAACUCUACGAUGAAAUGAGGAAAGAGAAGCUUUUGACCGAUGAGAAGCACAAGAACAUCGGUAUCCUGAGAUCUUCUGGAGACGCGCUGAAGCAGAAGAUAUCCGAUCUAUCGGCAAGAAAAGAGUCUCUGUUGGCGGAGCUCAAGGAAGUAGAGAACGCUCUGUCCCAAGCCCAACAGGAAGAGAGCCAAUUGCCAGAGACCAUCAGGCUUCUUGAGCGCGAGCGAAAUGCUCAUGGUCGCAAAGCACUCCAACUGAAGAAGAAGCUGAAGCCGAUAGAAGGUUCUGCCGAUGAUGACAUCAAGGAGAUAGAAGCAGCCAACCAAAUUCGGCUACGCGCUAUAUCGGCAAUCCAGACGCUGCUUAACACAUAGAGUUUCCAUCGGCAUUGUAUCCUCAGCUUUUAGUCUAGCCAAUAGGACUGUUAUCGGCGCCUAAACUUUUGAAACACCAAGUCUCGUCCCUAAGCAUUUGGAUCCAGCCGAUAGGAGUGUUAUCGGCACCUAAACUUCUAUGCAUCGACCCAUAUACUGGGGUAGUACUUCUUUAAAUAUUUGCCGUUUAAUGCUCUGGGAAAUUCAAUUCCUUCGAGGGUUUCUAGAAUGUAGGCAUUACCAGGAGCCGAUCGACUUAUCCGAUAAGGACCCUCCCAAUUAGGAGACCACUUUCCAAACUUCGAACUUUUGGUCCCAAUUGGUAAAAUUACUUUCCAUACCAAAUCCCCAUCGGCAAACUCUUUAGCCUUCACUUUCUUAUCAUACCAUCUAGCAACUCUCUUCUUAUUUUCUUCUAUACUCAUUAAAGCUUUUAACCGAUGCCCUGCUAGAUCAUCCAAUUCAUCGGUCAUCAAAGUGGCAUAAUCGUCGGAAGUUAAUUGAUCUUGAAAAGAUAAUCGCCUAGAUCCAGCCUUAAUUUCCCAAGGCAACACUGCAUCAUGUCCAUACACCAAUUGAUAGGGUGAUACCUUGGUCGAUCCAUGACAAGCCAUCCGAUAAGACCAUAAUGCUUCAUUUAAUAAUGUAUGCCACCGCCUAGGAUUUUCUUCAAUCUUUCGUUUAAUAAGCUUGAUAAUUCCUUUGUUAGACGCUUCGGCCUGCCCAUUGGCUUGAGCGUAAUAAGGAGAAGAAUUCAACACUUUAAUUCCCAUACCGAUUGCGAAUUCAUCGAACUCCCCCGAUGUGAACAUGGUGCCCUGAUCGGUAGUAAUCGUUUGGGGAAUCCCAAAUCGGUAAACAAUAUGCUCCUUCACAAAAUCAAUCAUAUUUGCCGAUGUGACUUUCUUCAAAGGAAUAGCUUCAACCCACUUAGUGAAAUAGUCAGUGGCAACUAGAAUGAACUUAUGCCCUUUGCUAGAUGGUGGAUAAAUCUGGCCGAUCAGAUCGAUGGCCCAUCCCCGGAACGGCCAAGGCUUUAUUAUAGGAUUCAUAGCCGAUGCGGGUGCUCUCUGGAUAUUACCAAACUUUUGACAACCUUGACAUCCCUUGAAAUAUUUAAAACAAUCUUCAAGUAUGGUCGGCCAAAAAUAUCCAUUCCUUCGAAUCAUCCACUUCAUCUUAAAAGCUGACUGAUGCGCUCCACACACUCCUUCAUGGAUUAACCCCAUCAAACCUCUAGCUUCAUCAUCACCCAAGCAUCGGAGAAGAAUUCCGUCGAUAGUUCGAUAAUACAAUUCAUUUUCAAGGAGCACAUACUUGGUUGCUUGAAAUCGAACCCGUCUUUCAACUUUUUUGGAUGGAUCUGUUAGAUAAUCAAUAAUUUCUUUCCUCCAAUCACCGGCACCGACUGCCGAUGUCGCAUUAAUCAUUGGCUGAUAUCCCGAGGCAUGCUGAGCUAACCGAUUAGCGUCUUCAUUAUGCAAUCGGGGAACAUGCUCCUAUCGGAAAUCCUUGAAUUCCUUUAACAGUUGCAUACUUCUCUCGAAAUAAGUUAUGAGAACUUCACUUCGGCAUUCAUAGCUUCCGGGCAAUUGAUUUAUAACCAACAUAGAAUCCCCGAAUAUUUCAACAGCAUCAGCAUGAACUUCUCUUAACAACUCCAAUCCCUUGAUCAGAGCUUGAUACUCAGCCUGAUUAUUUGUUGAUGUGGCAACAAUCGGCAAGGAAAACUCAUACUUCCUCCCCUUAGGGGAAACUAAUACAAUGCCGAUUCCUGCCCCCCGGUCACAGGUAGAUCCAUCAAAGAAGAGCGUCCAGGGUACAAUUUCCAAGGUUUCCACUAGACCGCAAUGCUGAGUCACAAAAUCGGCCAUAAUCUGCCCUUUGACUGCCUUAGCCGAUUCGUAACGCAAAUCGAACUCCGACAGCGCUAAAAUCCAUUUACCGAUCCUACCACUCAUAAUCGGCAUAGAUAGCAUGUAUCGGACCACGUCAUCUUUGCAAACAACAGUGCAUUCGGCCGAUAACAGGUAAUGUCUCAGCUUGAUACAUGAAAAAUAUAAGCAUAAGCAUAGUUUCUCAAUGGCCGAAUACCUGGUUUCAGCAUCACUCAACCUCCUACUCAAAUAAUAAAUUACCCUUUCUUUCCCUUCAAAUUCUUGAACUAAAGCUGAACCGAUAACCGAUCCAUCGGUAGAUAAAUACAAUCUGAAGGGCUUCCCUUGUUGAGGUGGAACUAGAACUGGAGGAUUUACUAGAUACUUCUUGAUUUCAUCCAGAGCCAACUGCUGUUCUUCUCCCCAAAUAAACUCUUGAUCGGCUUUCAAUUUAAGAAGAGGACUGAAAGCACGAAUCCUACCAGAUAAAUUCGAUAUAAAUCUCCUGAUAAAAUUUACCUUGCCGAUCAAGGAUUGGAGCUCGGUUUUGUUGGUAGGGGCCACUAUUUUAUUGAUGGCAUCAAUAGAUCUUCGACUAAUUUCAAUACCCCUCUGAUGUACCAUGAAACCAAGAAACUGCCUUGCCGAUACACCAAAUGCACACUUGUUGGGAUUCAUCUUCAAUCCAUGCUUCCUUGUGCACUCUAACACUUUUUGUAAAUCGGCAAGAUGCUUUGAGAAAUCUCCAGACUUAACCACCACAUCAUCAAUAUAAAUCUCCACGAGCUUGCCGAUGAACUCAUGAAAUAUAAAAUUCAUAGCCCUUUGAUAAGUAGCACCAGCAUUCUUCAACCCAAAAGUCAUGACUAUCCACUCAAAUAGCCCAACAUGACCAGGACACCUGAAUGCGGUUUUUGGAAUAUCCUCCUCCGCCAUGAAUAUUUGAUUGUAACCUGCAUUACCAUCCAUGAAGCUGAUGACCUGAUGACCAGCCGCAGCAUCAACCAGUAGAUCGGCGACAGGCAUUGGGUAUCCAUCCAUCGGCGUAGCUUUAUUGAGAUUCCUGAAAUCAAUGCACACCCGAAGCUUCCCGUUCUUCUUGUAAACCGGAACAACAUUGGCAAUCCACUCGGCAUACCGACACUGCCGAAUAAACUUAGCUUCAAUAAGUUUGGUGAUUUCGGCCUUAAUAUCAGGUAGAAUGUUAGGAUUACAUCGGCGGGCUGGUUGCUGAUGUGGCCGAAAUCCAGACUUGAUGGGUAACCGAUGUUCAACAAUUGAUCGGUCUAAACCAGGCAUCUCAGUAUAAUCCCAAGCAAAGCAAUCUUUAUAUUCCUUUAACAAACUAGUCAAUUGUUGCUUACUCUCAGGAUCUAAUUUAGCACUAAUAAAAGUAGGCCUAGGCUUAUCACCACUACCUAUAUCUACUUCUACCAAAUCAUCGGCCGAUGUGAAUCCCUGGCCUAAUUUUCCAUCAUCGGCGAAUCUAUCCAUUAAAAACCGUCAUCAGAACCGACUGCUUGGAUCGGUGGAAUCUCAUAAUCGGCAACUUUGAGAAAAUCUUUCUCCCAAACUUCUCCUGAAAUGCACCUGGUCCUUUCGUAAGUAUCCGCUUCUGCCGACGCGAUAACAUAAGAAGAAUCUCCUGGGACAAUCUCAAUCUUGUCACCUACCCACUGAACCAAGCAUUGAUGCAUUGUAGAUGGGAUACAACAAUUGGCAUGAAUCCAAUCUCUUCCCAAUAAUAAGAUGUAAGCACCUUUUCCGCUGAUCACGAAAAAAGUUGUCGGCAAGGUUUUGCUGCCGAUGGUCAACUCUGCACAUAUCGCCCCCUUGACUGGAGACACGUUUCCUUCAAAGUCUUUGAGCAUCAUAUCGGUCUUGGUCAAAUCUUGAUCCCCUUUCCCCAGCUUCCGAUAUACUGCAUACGGCAUAAUAUUAAUGGCAGCUCCACCAUCAACUAGGAUCUUGGUCAUUGGCUGCCCAUCAACCCUUCCUUUGAGGAACAGAGCUUUAAGAUGCUGCCUCUCGUCAUCGGCAGGUUUCUCAAAGAUAGCCAUCAUCGGAUCCAGAGCCAACUGAGCUAUCUGAUCAGAAAAUUCCAACUCAUCGUCACUGGCUGGUGCAAGAAACUCCAUCGGCAACAUGAAGACCAUGUUGACGCCUACCGAUGGACCUUCCCUCUUAGUGUCUGACGGCUGCCGACUUCCAGAGUUCUCUCCCUUGUUUAGCUCUUCUUGCCUUUCACGUUGCAAUCUCCUUUUCUGUGUCUUGGUUAACCCUCCAGGGCACCAUGGAGGAAGUGGCCUUUGCCUUGCCGUCGGGCGCCGGUUCUCCCUUGACUCCAUACGAUGCGUGUUAGCAUCCCUGCAAAAUAUGAAUUCAUCGGGAACCCGCGCAUCAGCCAUUCCCUCGAGCUCUUCUUGGUUCCUGGGAAAAUACUGGACACGGUCACUAAGUCUGUCGUGCCCGCUAUAUCUGCCCCCCAGCCGGUCAUGAACUGACACCCUUCCUCUGAUCGGCCCAUUAAAUCGCCGUUCAUCAUUAUGAUAAUGCCGAUCGAUCCUAUCGUACCGAUCAUAACCGUUGCACUCAGGGCAGUCUCUGACAGUAGGAAGCUUGAUAUUCUCCUCCCAACAAUGGAUGAAGAAUGGACAAUUCCAAUGAUCCCUGUGCCGAUUCCACUCCUGUCGGCGUCUUUCUUCUUCCCGUCGAUAAUCUUCCUGCUGGCGCCGAUACCAAUCUUCCCGUUGUUGCCAUUUUUCUCGAGGCCUUCUAUGAGUUAUGACGAUACCAGAUCGAGGAAGCCUUCCUGAGCUAGUUCCUUCCUGGACCAAGCCCUUACUUCUUGCAUCGGCAGUAGUAACUUGAUGCUGGGGAUCUACCGAUGCACUCUUCUCAGCUGUCUCCGAUGUUAAGACCUUAGCCUUCCCCUUAGCAUCCAACAUGUUUGUCGGGAAAGGAUGUUGGUCUAUCUUCAUCGGCUUCUAGGCUUUGGAACUGUCAAACUUGAUUCUCCCUGACUCUAUAGCCGAUUGCAGCUGCUGUCUGAAUACUUUGCACUCGUUGGUGUCAUGGGAAGUUGCAUUAUGCCACUUGCAAUAUCUCAUCCUCUUCAACUCUUCUGCCGAUGGGAUCACAUGGUUAGGUGACAGUUUGAUCUGACCUUCCUGAAGUAGAAAGUCAAAUAUCCUAUCGGCCUUAGCGGUGUCAAAAGCAAACUUCUCUGGUUCCUUCUGCCCAAAAGGACAAGACAUCGGCUUCUUGUUUUUUACCCAUUCUGCCAAACCGAUUACUGGUUCUUCAUCAGAAUCUGAGCUUGUUGCUUCAUCGACAAAUGACACUUUCUUAUUCCAUGCUCUCUUAGGCUCAAAAGGCUUGAUGUCUUGAUCAGAAAUCCUCUGCACCAAAUGACUUAAACUUUCGAACUCCUGAGAGGCAUACUUAUCCCUGAUAUGUGGCAACAAACCCUGGAAAGCCAAAUCGGCUAGCUGCCGAUCAUCCAGAACCAGGCUAUAGCAUUUAUUCUUGACCUCUCGUAUCCUCUGCACAAAUCCCUCAACCGACUCAUCAUUACGUUGCCUCAACUUGACCAAGUCGGUGAUCUUCUUCUCAUGAACCCCCGAGAAGAAGUAUUUGUGGAAUUGCUUCUCUAGAUCGGCCCAAGUAAUUACUGAGUUGGGAGGUAACGAUAUGAACCAAGUAAAGGCCGAUCCAGACAAUGAUGAUGAAAAUAGACGAACCCUCAAUUCGUCCCUGUUACUGGUCUCUCCACAUUGAAUAAUGAACCUGUUGACAUGCUCCAUGGUUGACGUGUCGUCCUGUCCGGAAAACUUUGUAAAAUCCGGUACCUUGUACCGAUGUGGAAGCGGGAUCAAAUCAUACGCGGGAGGAUACGGUGUCCGAUAAGAAUAAGUGUUGACUUUGGGUUUUAUCCCAAAUUGUUCCCUCAUUACUUCAGCAAUCUUAUCGGCCCAAUAUGCAUCGGCAUCUUGCCGAUGAGGCGGCUGCGGAUCUGGCACUUGGUGGCGAACCUCCACGUGUCUGUUCGGGACGUGAUCUGCACGGAACAUUGUAUUGAUCAUCUGUCCUCCAACCUGCGGACCACCAAACUGCUGUCCACCGAUUGGCUGUCCUCCGAGUUGCUGUCCAAAAUUCAUUGGCUGGUUGGGAAUCCCCUGACCUUGGAACCCGGGAUAGACCUGCCCUUGCUGGAACCCUGUAGUCUGGUAACUCUGCUGGGGCAAUUGUGGAAAGGCUUGCUGUCCAAGCCAUCCAUUAUUAGCGUUCAUCGGCAUAGGUGCUGCCGAUGAUUGGUAAUUGGGUACCGUCGUUGAAUUGACAUACCCCGACUGGGCCAUAGGCCUCUGUUGCAUCAGCAUUGACUCUGCCGAUGCGUUGGGCAUCUGGAACAUUGAAUCUUGAGGAUUUCCAGUGUGAGGCCUCGCAGUAGUAGUUGUGGUAUACCGAGGACUCUGGUUCACCGGCGCAUUGGGAGGUGCCGAUGUCAUAGGAGUUUUGCCCCUCAUGUCAGUUAUUUGUGAUGUUCCCGGCGUCAACUCUGGAGGCAUACCGUAACCCCACCAGUUGGGAGGAAGCGUCAACCCUGACAUUGCCAAUGCCAACAUAUCUGUUGUCAGUUUAUGCUGCCCAACUGAAAUUUGUGGGUUGGUUGCCAUCGGCAUAGAUAGUGCACCAGUAGUCCCCGAUGUACUUGGAGGGACGGCAGAUUGUGCACUUGCAUUCGUCAAGGCAGCCGAUGGAGCCGUGACCUCUGGCGCCGUUGGCUGAUGAUGGGAGGGGCCCACAUAAUCUGGUGGGAUUUGUCCUUCCUUGAAAGUUCUUGCCACGGCAUUGAAAACCGUAUUAGACAGUACACCAGCUUGGUUAAUCAACGCUCGAUUGAUGGCAUUGUCAACCAUAUCUUGAAGCUUGCCAGGAUUGGCGUCAAAGGUAACCUACCGUGGUGCCGGCAGUGCAUCUUUCUGGACCACUUCGCCGCUCCUGUUUAUGCUGAAAGACCUCAGGCAUUGCUGCUUGAACUCUUCCAUGGCUUGGGCAAUAGCUUGCUUCUGCUCAUCCUUGAGGUUGGCCUCCGUCACGGGGAUGACGUUCUCUUGAUCGAGGUCAGAGAUCGACAUGUUGAUCUUGAUCUUGAAUCUGGUCCCACUGGGCGUGCCAAAAGAUGUGUUGAUGCAAAACUGAUCUGCAAACACAAAGGGCUAAUACCCGAUUCAAACGUUAAGGCGUGCCAGCCGAUUUGACCUUACUAUCGGCAAAGGUGAUAACUCGAAUACUUUAGUCCUGACAACAGCGAUGCGCCCGGAUGUCACGGCUAAGAGGUACUCACGCGGAACUCGAGAACACGCCGAGCUUAAGUCGACGAAUUCCUAAGAACUCGUAAUAAAAGGAAAAAGUAUGACGAAGUCGUCGAAAAGUAGAUGCUGGAAUAUGAGUAAAAACGUGUGUUUGAUUGAUUUCUUGAUUGAUGAUCUAUUACAAGGCCCUAGGGUCUACAUUUAUACCCUGCUCAAAGAGCUACAACCAGACACGAUUAGAAUUCGAAUUCCAAAUUACACGGAAUCCGUAUACAAAACGAUGCAAAUAAUUAAGGAAAUAACAAAACUAUCCCUCAUGACAAACCAAAACUCCUCCACAUAACGACCGGCAGCUUCCGGACUCCCUCUUUGCAUCAUCGGCAGACCCUUUGCCAUAGUCAUCGGCAGACUUUCUUAUCUAGCCAUCGGCACCAUAUUACUGCCUGUGGACUUAAUCACGUUCAACCUCUCCCUCAUCGGUAACCAUCCUCAUCGGCAACCCACUUUGUAAACAUCGUACUGCCACCUUAUCCUGCCAUCCCAGACACGUGCCCAAAAACGGUGUCAACAGGGGCAAUAUGCGUCGAGUUGACCAUCGGCAGCAAAACCUUGCCGACAACCUUCUUUGUGAUCAGUGGAAAGGGUGCUUAUAAUUUGCUGCUAGGGAGAGAUUGGAUUCAUGCCAAUUGCUGCAUCCCGUCUACAAUGCACCAAUGCUUGGUUCAGUGGGUAGGUGACAAGAUUGAGAUUGUCCCGGGAGAUUCUUCUUAUGUCAUUGCAUCGGCAGAGGCGGACACUUAUGAAAGGACUAGGUGCAUCUCGGGAGAGAUUUGGGAGAAGGAUUUCCUCAAAGUUGCCAAUUAUGAAAUUCCACCGAUCCAAGCAGUCAGUUCUGAUGAAGAGUUUUGAUGGAUAGGUUCGCCAAUGAUGGAAAAUUAGGCCAAGGAUUCACAUCGGCCGAUGAUUUGAUAGAAGUAGAUAUAGGUAGUGGUGAUAAACCUAGACCUACUUUUAUUAGUGCUAAGUUAAAUUCUCAGUGUAAGCAGCAGUUAACCGAUUUGUUGAAGGAAUAUAAAGAUUGCUUUGCUUGGGAUUAUACCGAGAUGCCUGGUUUAGACCGAUCAAUUGUUGAACAUCGGUAACCCAUCAAGUCUGGAUUUCGGCCACAUCAGCAGCCAGCUCGCCGAUGUAAUCCUAAUAUUCUUCCUGACAUUAAGGCUGUCGACGAAAGCUAGUCGGCAGUCUACCUUGGGGUAUACCCACGGUAGUAGUUUAUCGGUAGACGGUGCGCAAACUACGAACUCGAUGGUGACGCAAGACACGGACAAGCUUUUUAUCCAGGUUCGGCCGCCGAGUUGGCGUAAUACCUACGUCCUGCGUCUGGUUGUAUUGAUUUGUGUUGAGAGAAUAUGAUGUGUCCUAGGGGGGUCCCUUGCCCCUCCUUAUAUAUUCUGGAGGGCAGGGUUACAGAUCUGGAAACUAAUCCUAGUCGGUUACAAUUGCCAUGGAUAAUUCGAUAUCAAUUCCUAUUCUAACCGACUAGAAUCCUGCUUGAUCUCCACAUCUUGUUUCCUUGCGCGAAACUCCAGGUUGUCGGAUCAAGCCUUGAACUCGUCUCGUAAUGGGCCAAGCCUCCUGGCCGAAGUCUAGCCGUAAGGGUAUAGGGGUUUAUACCCCCACAGCUAGUCCCCGAGCACCAUGUAUUGUGAUGUAACACGCCGUCUUGAGCUUCUUCGGUCAGUGAGACUUGACAUCUUCAAUAAGUGGGAAAGUCGCCCAAACAGUUGCAACGGUUCUUUGACCAACUCAAAAGACAGUUGAUCAACAUUGACAUCGAAGAAGCGAGUUGUUCGAAGAAUGCAUGGUGCUCUAAAUUAAAAAAGAUUUCUUUCCUGGUGAAGUGUGCCCACUUUACUUUUUUGAAAGGUAUAAACAUCAAAAAAGCAAGCAUAUUCACCGCAAGGUGAAGUGUGCCCACUUAGUCCCCGAGCCUGGUAGUAGGUGACGUAGGCACGUGGUGCCAGGGUCAAAAUAAAAGUCCUCAAAGAAAUUCUGUAACUGAGAUGCAUCGCCAGAUGCAUCGUACCGAUGUAGUCCCCGAGCUUGCUGGAAGGCAAAGUAUGAGCCUUGUAGCAAGGUCUAAAAAAUUGAAUUUACCAGUCCGUCUGCAAUUGAAUAGACUAAUCGACCAGUCCCCAGGUGUAUAAUAGUAUGACGACCAGUCCCCAAGCACCAAGUGCGCUCCUUAGAAUUCUGCGUUGCUAUACUGUACGACCAGUCCCCGAGCAUCGAGUUCUCGGUGGUCGGUGCAGUCUUUGAAGUUUCGAGCUGAUAGACUGGGCGACCAGUCCCCGAGCGUCGAGUGCUCGGUGGUCGGUGCAGUCCUUGAAGUUCCGAACUGAUAGACUGGGCGACCAGUCCCCGAGCGUCGAGUGCUCGAUGGUCGGUGCAGUCCUCGGACUGUUGACUCUCUGGCAUAUUUGUCUUCUUUUUAUUGAAACGAUCUUUUCAGUUAAAGUUGACAUGACGAGACCUCCUGAUGGGUUGUCAGAUGGACGCAUGAAAAGUUGCGCCUGGCAACUGUACAGCCGCCCUUUGCGUGGUUUGAGAAAAAGGGAACCAUCAAUUGGUACGAAAACUCCGCCGCAUUAAUUGUCUAUAAUCAUUAUAAACCGAAACGCCGCAUCCGCCGCAUGGCCCGCCCACUUCCCGAGAAUACGGGAAGUGGGAGAGGUGGAGUUGCGGGUUAUAAAAGCCUGACAGUUCCGCCUGUGCUCCUUACCCUGCCAUUGCCCUCAAGCCUUCCAUUUUCGCCUCCUUCAAUCACCUGCAUCUUCGUAACCCAAAUCCACUUCUCACCUCCAAUGGCGAAGAGCAACGCCAAGAAGAGGGCUGAACUGAUGGCCAAGGAGUGGAAGAAGUCCCGCAGCACCACCAAAUCCCUUGGUGACCUCGUCGACAUGGGACUCCUGCACAGCUCGGAGCUCGGCGGCUGGAGAGCACCGGAAGGAGAAAGCUUCCCCGACCCUCGUGCCGGUGAGAUCGUCGUGUUUGAAGAUUUCGUUAAGAGGGGCUUUGGGGUUCCGGUUCAUCCUUUUCUCCAAGGUCUUCUUCUGUAUUAUGAGAUCGGGAUUUGCAAUCUGCACCCGAACUCAAUUCUCCUUAUUUCCACGUUUAUUCAUCUGUGCGAGGCCUAUGUUGGCAUAGAGCCGCACUUCGAUCUUUUUCGUUACCUUUUCUGCUUGAGGAAGAAGGGAGCAGUUGGAGGCUCCAAGGUUGCAGGUGGAGUGUACCUCAACCUUCGUGAUGGAAUGAAGAAUCACUACCUGCACUGUCCAUGGAACACUUCCUUGACCGAAUGGUAUAGGAAGUGGUUCUACGUCAGGGAGGAACCGGGCAGCUCCACGUUCUGCGACGUGGGGUACAUUCCCGAGAAGAGGGUAAGCUGGACCGACCGCCCGGAGUUCGACGGUCAAGUGGCGGAUCUGAUGAAGCUGAUCGACUGGUCGCGCCUGGAUGGGCUUGGCGUGGUCGGCAACUUCAUUUGUCGUCGGGUGAUGCCCUGCCAGAAGAGGGUGCACUCGGCGUACGAGUAUUCCGAAAGCGUGGACCCGACCAGGAUGCGACCGGAGAUCUUGGAGAAGGCGGAGGUACAACGGCUGUUGAACGAGCUGUUCAACUUUGCGGACGGAGGCUUCAUCCGCGGCAGUGAUCGGGUGCAAGCCUUCAAGUUAGGCCGACCAGCACCAAAGGUAUGUUGCAGAGUAUUUUGUUUUAGCAUUCGUAUAUCGUCUGUAGCUGACUCAUCUUUGUUGCUUUUGCAGAUCGGCGAUGUCGACCGGUGCACAGUGUAUGUAUCACUGGCACCGGGGAUGGAGGAUCCUGCGGGAGAAGACUUGCCAGAAGGCAAUACUGCUAGGUGUACUCGUUACACCAGCAGUGAGGAGGAACAAACCCGCCCCGUCCCGACCACCGAGGAGAGGGUAGCGGGGAAAAGGCCAUUGCCGGCAGAUCCCUUGCCGACACAGAUGUUGCCGGCAGGUCUACAUGCGGAGAGCAGCCAAGCGCCGAAGCGUUGUCGGCUCGUGCGGAUCGUUGACGACGACGACGACGACGAGGAGGCUGCGCCGUCGUUAGUCCGACGGCCUCGGAGCCGCCCAGAUAAUGCGCCGGCCGCUACUGAUCGAGUGGCCAGCGACCCCCCUGCACCGCAAGUUGUCGAGAUGGGGGCGCAGGUGCCGACCGGCCGGGCGAGGAUGAGGUUCACCGCGACCCACCGUCGAUCAGACCUGUAAGUGUUUGACUUACGUAUUUUGGACUCCUCUUUGCUUUUUUUUUUAAAUUACACUUUUGUUCCUGUAGUGCGGCGUCGGAUGUCGACCCCGGCCAGGCUGCCAGCCAGGGGACGGGCGAGCCUGUCCGCGCUGCUGAAGAUACGGCCCCCCAGACCACAGAGCAGCCUACAGCUGCAGCCGCGCCUGGGAGCACCGAGGGGCUCCCGACCGCGGCACCGACUACGACAGGCAGCCCGACCAGGGCUGAAGAGGCUCCCACAGCUGGCUCCGCAGAAGAGGAGGGAAGAUCCCCGACCCCUCCUCCUGCCGGGGGGGAGUGAAGUCCCCACGCCGCCCCGAGCAGGAACCUCUUCGGCUGCAGGCUCCGCAGGUCUGGUCCGAGGGCCAGUAAUGCCUGGGACCACCACCGGGGGUGACGCAGCGCAGGAGGAGGAAACCCGGGCGGCCUCCGAUGACGAGGUGGAAGAGAUUGAGGGUCGUCCCCGUGAUGGCCGCCAACACGUGUAUGUGUGGCGCCAACGCGGGGAUCACUUUAUCGGGCAUGAGGAGCUCGCCGAGACCGAGGAGGCCGCCAGGGUGGAGCGUGCGGCCAAGCGCCUCGUCGACGAAGUCAAGGUAAGCGACUUUUUGUACUGCUGUACAUUCUAUGCCUUGUCUUGCAUGGUCGUUAUAUGCUCGCUUUGUAGGGCGCGAUGAAAACGGCAAAGUACCGGAAACGGUGCUUUGACCAGAUAGAAGGCGUCGUGGCCGAGAACAAGGCCCUUGCCGUGGAGGUAGACCGGCUGCGGUCAGAAGUCGGGGAGAUGGUGGCCGAGAUGAGUGCCCAAGAGGAGCGUCGUCUCGACCUCACUCGUCGCUUGGCCGACCAGUACGGCAGCGAGAAGGUUAGUCACACGCUCCGAGCAGCUUUGCGUACUUGUGUAGUUUGCUUUACUGACCAGUUUAUGAUUCACGCAGACUUGGAGGAGGAGGUGGCGCGCCUCCGACAAGAGAAGGAGCAGCUCAGCCAACAGCUCGCCGGUGCGCUGGAGUCCGGGCGGCGAGCGGGAGAGGAAUUGGGUCGAAAGGACCGGGAAUUAUCUGGUAAUGGGUGCCGCCUUGUUAGCUGCUGCUUGUCGCCCCUUUGUUUGUUUGGUAUGCCAAAAAUAACGCUUUGCUUCGUUUGCAGUGCUCAAGGUGAACGCCAAGAAGCACCUGGAUGAUCUGAUCAAGGACCGGGACUCCUGGAAGGUCAACUGUUGCAGGAUCUGGAAAGGAGUGUCCCCAGUCCUAGACCUGAUCAGUCCCGAGCUCCCGGAGAGCCAGCCCCGCGCCGCCGCAGUUGACCCCGGUCGAGAAGGCGCAACGGGCGUGGGACUGGCUCCAGCAGUUCGUGAAGGACGCCGGGGAGUUUGCCGGCGCGCACGUCCUCAGCAUGGUGCGCGCCCACUACCCACUGGUCGACUUGAGCAGGCUGGAGAAGGGGUACCCGAAGGAGGUCGGCCCACAGGAAGCGGACGAGCUUCGGGGUAGUCUGCUGGACUUGUCGUCGACAGUGAUCGGCGACAUCAAUCUGUGCGGAACGGCCACUCCCCCAGACCAGCCGAGUUCAGAUAGGUCGGCCAGGGAGUUGUCGGGCGCGUCCGUUGCGGGAGAUGGGCGGUCGACGCCUGCGGUCUCGACCAGCCAGGCGCCGGUGGCCCCGACCCCUUCGUCCGGGCAGCAGGGCCAGGCGGGUGAUCAGCCCGAGCAGCUAGGCCAAUAGAGUAGUCUGUAGGAAUAGACUAGUGUCUGCCCGUCAGGGUAUUUAUUGUAAACUUUGUAUGUAAAGUUUGUAAUAAAGUUUGCUUUUUGUCAUGACUGUUGUUUUGAGCGCUGUAAUAAUAUCUGAGUGACGUGUCACCGUAUUCGUCUUGGUAGUCGUUAAGAGCAUCCAUUGCAGGCGUUUUGCCGAGUGCUGUGUGCGACAAGGUAUAGGCAAAAAAUAGAGAAUUUCAUUAUCAACAAUUAUAAGAUACUUACAAAGGAAAGUUAUUAAAACUUUAUGGAUAGAAACGUCGCAGUUUGUCUAUGUGCCAAGAGUUAGGCACUCGUGUUCCGUCUGGGUAUGCCAAUCUGUAGGACGUAGGUCGUGUGACCUCAGUCACCACGAAGGGUCCUUCCCAGGGAGUGGAUAGCUUGUGCAUUCCCUCCUGGCUUGUUUUCCAUCGAAGUACCAGAUCGCCGACCAUGAAGGAACGGUCCUUGACGUUCCUGUUGUAGUAUCGCCUGACUGCCGCGAGAUAUUUUGCUGUUCGGAGACAAGAAUCUAAACGCUUUUCCUCCAUGCAAUUGAUUUCGAGUUCUCUGGCGUUGUCAGCGGUCGCCUGGUCGAAGUGUUCGAUUCUAGGAGAUCCGAAGUGUAUGUCAGACGGCAGGACCGCCUCUGCACCGUACACCAUGAAGUAGGGAGACACCCCUGUGUUUCGACUGGUCUGAGUUCGGAGGCCCCAGACCACUGCUGGCAAUUCUUUCAUCCAUCGACCGGGUGCUCUGUCGUUUUCGGUGUACAACCUUUUCUUUAGGGCGUCAACGAUCAUUCCGUUAGCAUGUUCAACUUGACCGUUGGCAUGUGGAUGUGCCACUGACACGUAUUUUAUGACUAUGCCUCUGUCAUCGCAGAAGUCCCAAAAAGUGGUGCCAGUAAAUUGAGUGCCCAGGUCGGUGAUUAUGCUGUUCGGGAUGCCGAAUCUGUGUAUGAUUUGAUUGAGGAACUCCACAGCCUUCUCGGAGGUUGCCUUGACCAGAGGCAUGUAUUCAAUCCACUUGGAGAACUUGUCGAUUAACACGAAAACAAACUUGAAAUUGCCCGGGGCUGGUUUAAAUGGCCCGAUCAUGUCGAGCCCCCAGCAAGCAAAGGGCCAAGACGACGGGAUGUUUUGAAUUUCGUGGGCAGGUACGUGGGUCCUCUUAGCGAAAAACUGACAUCCUUCGCAAUGUCGAACCAGUUUUUCUGCGUCGCCGACCGCGGUUGGCCAAUAAAAACCUGCUCGGAAAGCCUUUCCGACCAGCGUUCUGGAUGCGGCGUGAUUGCCGCAGGAUCCAGCAUGUAUGUCCUCUAAGAGCUUGAUACCAUCAUCUUGGGGUAUGCACUUGAGCAGUACUUCGGAGCUUGCGUUUUUCCGCAUGAGUUUGCCGUCGACCAGGAUGUAGUUCUUUGAUCGUCGAAUGAGGCGCUCGUUCUCUAUUUUGUCCUGAAGGCCUGUCCCGUCCGAUAUGUAUUUGAUGAACGGGGUACGCCAGUCACGCCCACCGGUUGUCGGAGUGGCGUCGUCUAUGAGCAUUGCCUCGGUGGGUUGCUUGUCGACCAGGGAGGAGCCUACGCUCGGCUCGUGGAUGUCCUGGACGAAAAUACCCCGCGGGAUCUGGGUCCGAGAUGAGCCUAACUUCGACAACGCAUCUGCUGCUUGGUUCUUAUCCAGGACCACGUGGAUGUACUCUAUGCCGUAGAAGUUGGUUUCCCAUUUGCGAAUUUCUUUGCAGUAGAGAUCCAUCUUCUCGUGGGUUGCGUCCCACUCCUUGUUGAGCUGGUUGAUGACCAAAGCGGAGUCGCCAUAGACAUAGAGUCGCUUGAUUCCCAGCUCAACGGCUAGUCUUAUGCCAUGCAAGCAUGCUUCGUAUUCGGCGACGUUGUUUGACGCCGGAAAAAGGAUCCGAAGGACGUAACGCAGUUUGUCCUUGUUGGGUGAUACGAACAGUAUCCCAGCGUCGGCACCGUUGAUGUUCAAGGACCCGUCAAAGAACAUUGACCAGUGGUCUGAGACAUCGGGAACGGGAGGCUCAUUGAGAUCCGUCCAUUCAGCAAUGAAAUCGACCAGGGCCUGAGACUUGACCGUAGUUCGGCUAUGGAACUCCAGGGAAAAUGGGCACAAUUCCAUCGCCCAUUUCACGAUUCUGCCAUUGGCGUCUUUAUUGCGCAGGAUGUCCCCGAGAGGGAAACUGGUUGUCACCAGGACUCGAUGGCCGUCGAAGUAGUGCUUCAGCUUUCUUGACGUUAUCAGAAUGGCGUAUAUAAGCUUCUGUAUUUGUGGAUACCUGGCCUUGGACUCGUUUAAGACUUCACUUAUGAAGUAAACGGGUCUCUGGACCUUGUAGGCGUGACCUGGUUCAUCUCGCUCGACCACUAUUGCCGUGGAAACAACCCUGUCGGUUGCAGCAAUGUAAAGAAGUAGGUCUUCAUUGGGCUGAGGCGCUGUGAGGACAGGUGGUGAAGUGAGGAAGGUCUUAAGCUGAGUGAACGCAGCGUCGGCUUCCUCUGUCCAAGAAAAUUUUUCUGACGCUUUCAAUAGUUUGAAGAAAGGGAGGCCUUUUUCUCCCAGCCUUGAGAUGAAACGACUGAGGGCGGCCAUACAUCCGGUUAGCUUCUGAAUAUUCUUGACGUUCUUCGGUGGUCGCAUGUCGAGUACGGCUUUGACUUUUGAAGGGUUUGGUCGUAUGCCGUCGCAACUGACGACGUUGCCGAGCAGUAGACCGGAAGGAACGCCGAAAAUGCACUUCUUGGGGUUGAGCUUCCACUUGUACCUAUUGAGCGCCUUGAAAGUUCGGUCUAAGUUGUCGAUUAGGGUGCUCGCGUCCCUUGUUUUUACGACCACGUCGUCUACAUAGGCCUCGACGAGGUCAUCGCGAAUCUCGUCGUGGAGGCAUUGCUGGAUGGCCCGUUGAUAAGUGGCUCCGGCAUUUUUGAGUCCGAAAGACGUGGUCGUGUAGCAGUAUGCGCCGUAAGGUGUAAUAAAAGACGUUUUGAUAUGAUCUUCUUCCUUUAGCGAGAUCUGGUGAUAACCAGAGUAGCAGUCUAGAAAGGAGAGGAGUUCGCAUCCGGCCGUUGAGUCGACCACCUCGUCGAUGCGAGGGAGACCAAAAGGAUCUUUAGGACAGUGUUUAUUGAGAUCAGUGUAAUCAACGCACAUUCUCCAUUCAUUAUUCUUUUUGCGUACAAGAACCGGAUUGGCGAGCCAAUCGGGGUGAUACACUUCUUUUAUGAAUCCGGCUGCUAGAAGCCGUGUUAUUUCUGUCCUAAUAGCCUCCUUUUUGUCAUGAGCGAACCGUCGCAGUUUUUGCUUGAUUGGUCUUGCGGUCUUCGAGACAUUUAAGGAGUGCUCGAUCAGGUUUCGUGGGACACCGGGCAUGUCUGCGGGUUUCCAUGCGAAAACGCUCACGUUGUCCCUUAGAAACCUGACGAGCGCGUCUUCCUAUUUUGGAUCCAGGUUGGCCCCGAUGAGGGCUGUCUUCUCGGGGCUGCCUUCGACCAGCUGCACUUCUUUGUACUCCUUGGAUUUUGAGUUCUUCCUGGCUGUCGCCUGUUCGGGUAGUCGGAGCUGGUCGGGAGGCAGCUGUGCGGCUUGGUUUGCUGUUUCUGCCAUGCGGAUUGAGAGGUCGAUUGCCUCGGUGAUCUUGAAGCUUUCUUCUUCGCAGGUGUACGCAGUGUAGACGUUGCCUCUGACGGUUAGGACACCCUUCUCCGUGGGCAUCUUAAGGACUAGGUAUGAGUAGUGCGGGACUGCCAUGAACUUUGUCAGCGAUGGUCGGCCCAGUAUGGCAUGAUAGGUCCCGUCGAAAUCCGCGACUACGAAGUUGAUGAACUCCGUCUGGAAGUGGUCGAGUGUGCCGAAUUGGACAGGCAAUGUUAUCUGUCCGAGAGGCACUGAACUUUGACCUGGCAAAACCCCCCAGAAUUGGGCGUCGUAAGGUUUUAGUUGUGCAGGAGAUAUCUUGAGGGCGGGCAGGCUGUUGCGAAAGAGGAUGUCAAUGGAGCUUCCCCCGUCCACGAGCACGCGCUCGAAUCUGAUGCUGUUGAUGCAAGGGUCCAGAAUCAGGGGAAAACGACCCGGCUCUGGGAUAGCGGCCCACUGGUCCUUCCUGCUGAACGAGAUCUCCCUGUGGGACCACGGGGGGAAUUUUGGGUCUGUGAUCAGCCCGUCCGUGCUGUCUAUGUUGAGGCAAGCUCUCUUUAACAGCUUUCUUUCUCGCUUAGAUUCAAUGGAGACCUUGCCCUCGAAAAUGGAGUGGACCACGUCAGUGGGGCUGACGUACUGGUGUCGGGGGUCCCUAUCUUGGUCCUCGUCCUCAUCUUCGUGGUCGUGCCCGUCGCGCUUGUUAUUUUUCUUGGCGGAGUCGUCUUGGGCGGCCCGCCGUGUAUAGAUACUUUUGAGGACGCGGCACUCUUCCAUGGUAUGAUUGGACUUUGGAUGUAGUUGGCAUGGUCCCUUCAACGUUUUGUUGUAGUCUUCUUGGUAGUCCCGUCGUCCAUUGGGACGUUUGACCGUAUUUACUUCGUGGUCGUAGUCGUGAGGGCGCUUUCCUCUGAAGUCGUGGUGGCUGUCGCGCCGCCGAUCCCAACCCUCUCGGUGAUCGCGGUUGUCAGAGCGGCGGUGGUUUCUGCUGUCGUAGCGACCACGACCGUCAUCUCGCCGGGGAGGCUGGUCGGGACCUCUCGCAUCGUCUCGGAUUAGUUUUUCUGCGUCAUCGGCAUCGGCGUAAUUUUUGGCCGUGGCGAGGAGCUCUGCUACCGUUGUUGGACGUUUACGCAACAUCUUGUUCCUCAGCGCUUCGUGGAAACGCAGGCCCUUGAUGAAGGCUGAGAUGGCCUCGUCAUGGGAAAUCUUCAGGAUUUUGAGGCGCAUAUCCGAGAAUCGUCGGAUGUAAUCGCGCAGAGGUUCGUUCUUCCUGUCCCUUAUCCUUUCAAGGUCAUACUUGUUUCCAGGCUGCUCGCAUGUGGCGAUGAAGUUGUCGAUGAAAGCCUGGCGUAGCUCUUCCCAAGAGUCGAAGGAGUCCUCGGGCAAGCCGAGAAGCCACUGAUGACCAGCCUGGUCGAGGACUACGGGGAAGUAGUUAGCCAUGACGUGCUCAUCCCCUGCCGCUGAUCGGACGGCGAUUUCAUAGAGGGUGAUCCAGUUCUCUGGAUUUUCCUUGCCGUCGUAUUUUUUAAGUUUUUCGAGCUUGAAAUUGCGGGGCCACACGACCUAGCGGAGGUGUGAGGAGAACUGUCUUAGGCCCGGAGGACCGUGCGUUGCAUCGUACUCGAUGCGGCGCAGGUUUUUGUGGACUGCUCUCUCUGCGGCGCGCCUGUUGAUGCGGUCCCGGGCAUCUUUGGGAGGGAUGUUGUGGCGGAGAUCCCUGUGCUGAUUUACUUCUUGGCCGCGUACGCGGUUCUGCUUGCGGCGACCGUCGGCGUCCCGACCACCAUCGUCGCGCCAUGAGUCCCCUCGACGGUUGUCGGGGGAGCGGCUGCGGUGACGCCUGCUGGGUGAGGCCCGGCUUCGAUUAGUCUGGUCGGAGGCGGCUUCCGUAUAAGAGACGUCCUGGACUCUCUUGAGCAGAGUGGCUGUCUGUCCCAUUGCAGCGAUCAGGUGUGCUCGGAUGCUGGUCCGGACUCCCUGGCAUUCGGGGGUAUCAGGAAGCCGAUCUAGGUUAGCCAUGGCGACAGCCACGUUGGCGCUUGGCGUUUUGUAGACUGGCUGGUCCCCGACCAUGUCAAAGGCAUCAUUGAGAUUAUUUGGUGGCAUUUGUUGUUGCUCGUCUGCGCGUCGUCGGGCGCGAUCGGCGUUACGCUGUUCGCGGAGUUGCCUCUGGUCAUCUGUUUCUCCAUCAACGACCGGUUCGUCGGCGCUGACAUUGAACACAAUAUCCCCUCGCCGGGGGGGGAAUAUCGGGAAUCGGUUGAAACCUGGAGGGUGUGAAGGAAAAUCCAGGUCGUAGUCCUCGUCUUCGGUGUUUAUAACCUCGGUGGGGACGGAACCGGUGCUUGAGUUGGUGCUGGAAACCUGGCCGUCCCGUAGUUCUCGGAUUGUCACCAUGUUGACGUAGUGACGAUUGUUCCUUGUCGGCGACCAACCCGCCUUGCUGAAAACUGAUUGGGUGUGCUGUGAGUAAACAGAGACCGAGUUGUUCAGGCCGCAAGGAUAGUCUUCCUUCUUGAGCUCGACGGAUCGUCCUGAGGGUGUUGAGGUUAUCGUCAGAGACGUUCCCAGCCGUUCGUGUGUGGCGACACGAGUUGGCCGGCGGGAUUUGAAAAAAUCCGCUGGAGCAGCUUGGUCGGGCCGACGCAGAACUCCGUCUAUUAGUUGGGAAACUUCGAGUAGCUUGGAGUCAGCGCGAUCAAGCGCUUGGAGAAGGUCCGAGCAGUCGAUCUUCUUUCCCUUGUAGAGUGGGAACGGUGGUCGGGCGCUUGGUGCCGUCACGCAUGUGGUCGGAGACGGCGUGAUCUCAGAUUGGAUCUGGAUCUCUUUCGAAACCGUGGUCGUGAGGCCGCCGCUGCACGUCGUCCACGUGAUCUGGCGGACGGUGAACGUGAGGCCUUCGGGCACGGUCGCGGAAGCUGGGAUCGUGACCAUCUUGUUCGCCGGAAAAGUUGCACGCACACCCCCUACCUGGCGCGCCACUGUCGACGAAAGCUAGUCGGCAGUCUACCUUGGGGUAUACCCACGGUAGUAGUUUAUCGGUAGACGGUGCGCAAACUACGAACUCGAUGGUGACGCAAGACACGGACAAGCUUUUUAUCCAGGUUCGGCCGCCGAGUUGGCGUAAUACCUACGUCCUGCGUCUGGUUGUAUUGAUUUGUGUUGAGAGAAUAUGAUGUGUCCUAGGGGGGUCCCUCGCCCCUCCUUAUAUAGUCUGGAGGGAAGGGUUACAGAUCUGGAAACUAAUCCUAGUCGGUUACAAUUGCCAUGGAUAAUUCGAUAUCAAUUCCUAUUCUAACCGACUAGAAUCCUGCUUGAUCUCCAUAUCUUGUUUCCUUGCGCGAAACUCCAGGUUGUCGGAUCAAGCCUUGAACUCGUCUCGUAAUGGGCCAAGCCUCCUGGCCGAAGUCUAGCCGUAAGGGUAUAGGGGUUUAUACCCCCACAAAGGCCGAAAUAACCAAACUCAUCGAAGCUAAAUUUAUUCGGCAGUGUCGGUAUGCCGAGUGGAUUUCCAAUGUUGUUCCAGUUUACAAGAAAAAUGGGAAGCUUCGGGUUUGCAUUGAUUUUAGGAAUCUUAAUAAAGCUACGCCGAUGGAUGGUUAUCCAAUGCCGGUUGCCGAUCUACUGGUUGAUGCUGCGGCUGGACAUCGGAUCAUCAGCUUUAUGGAUGGUAAUGCAGGAUACAAUCAAAUAUUCAUUGCUGAAGAGGAUAUUCUAAAGACUGCAUUUAGAUGUUCUGGUCAUGUUGGGCUGUUUGAGUGGAUAGUCAUGACCUUUGGCUUGAAAAAUGCUGGUGCUACUUAUCAAGGGGCCAUGAAUUUUAUCUUUCAUGAGUUCAUCGGCAAGCUAGUGGAGAUUUAUAUUGAUGAUGUGGUGGUUAAAUCUGGGGAUUUCACGAAGCAUCUUGCCAAUUUGCGAAAGGUGUUGGAAUGCACAAGAAAAUAUGGUUUAAAGAUGAAUCCCAAUAAGUGUGCAUUUGGAGUAUCGGCAGGACAGUUUCUUGGUUUCAUGGUGCAUCAGAGGGGAAUUGAAAUUAGUAGACAAUCUAUUGAUGCUAUCAACAAAAUUGUUGCCCCUACUAACAAGAUUGAACUUCAAUCCUUGAUCGGCAAGGUAAAUUUUAUCAGGCGGUUUAUAUCUAAUUUAUCUGGUAAAAUUUGUGCUUUCAGUCCUUUGCUUAAAUUGAAAGCCGAUCAAGAAAUUAUAUGGGGGAAAGAGCAACAGUUGGUUCUAGAUGAAAUCAAGAGUUAUUUGGUGAAUCCUCUAGUUUUGAUUCCACCUCAGCAAGGGAAGCCCUUCAGAUUAUAUUUAUCUACUGAUAGGAUGGUCAUCGGUUCGGCUUUAAUUCAAGAAUUUGAAGGGAAGGAACGUGUGAUUUAUUAUUUGAGAAGAAGGUUGAUUGAUGCUGAGAUCAGGUAUUCGGCCAUUGGAAAACUAUGUUUGUGUCUAUAUUUCUCAUGUAUUAAGUUGAGGCACUAUUUGUUAUCGGCUGAAUGCACUGUUAUAUGCAAAGAUGACGUGGUCCGAUAUAUGCUGUCUAUGCCGAUUAUGAGUGGUAGGAUCGGUAAGUGGAUUUUGGCACUGUCAGAAUUUGAUCUGCGUUACGAAUCGGCUAAAGCAGUUAAAGGACAGGUUAUGGCCGAUUUCGUGACUCAACAUUGCGGGGCAGUGGAGACUUUGGAAAUUGUGCCUUGGACACUCUUCUUUGAUGGAUCCACGUGUGACCGGGGGGCAGGAAUCGGCAUGGUGUUAAUUUCCCCUCGGGGAAGGAAAUAUGAGUUUUCUUUGUCGAUUAUUGCUACAUCAACAAAUAAUCAAGCCGAGUAUCAAUCUUUGAUAAAGGGGUUGGAAUUAUUGAGAGAAGUCCAUGCUGACGCUGUUGAAGUCUUCGGAGAUUCUAUGCUGGUUAUAAAUCAAUUGGUUGAAAGUUAUGAAUGCCGGAGCGAAGUCUUGAUAGCUUACUAUGAAAAAAGCAUGCGACUAUAAAAGGAAUUCAAAGAAUUCCGAUUAGAGUAUAUUCCUCGGUUGAAAGUUAUGAAUGCCGGAGCUAACUGGUUGGCUCAGCAUGCUUCAAGGUAUCAGCCUAUGGUUAAUACGUUAUCGGCAAUCGGUGCCGAUGAUUGGAGGAAAGAGAUCGUUGAUUAUCUAAAGGAUCCAUCCAAGAAAGUUGAAAGGCGUGUUCGAUUUUAGGCUACCAAAUAUGGGCUCCUCGAGGAUGAGCUAUAUUAUCGGACAAUCGAUGGAGUUCUUCUCAAAUGCUUAGGUAAUGAUGAAGCCAAGAGUUUGAUGGGAGAGAUCCAUGAAGGGGUGUGUGGAGCACAUCAGUCGGCAUUUAAGAUGAAGUGGAUGAUCAAGAGAAAUGUGUAUUAUUGGCCGACUAUACUUGAGGAUUGUUGUUGACGGUCCUUAAUGCUCAUAUUUAACCAUUAAUUAAUCAUGGAAAAGGAUCCAAAUGCAACCAACACCUAGACUUAGGGUUUUAUCUGACAGAAUUCCACGAGUUUUGGUGUUUGUGUAUUUCUGCAGGGGGUUAUCAAGAAAUAUGGAAGAAAGGCCCACACGUCGGGUUUACAUAGAGAUAUUAACGUGCCGCGCAAUUUUCUACCAUCUAGAAGACUCCAGAAGCCACGGGAACGAACGGGAGACGUAACGGAGCCGGGCACUGGGCGCCCGCCCUCCCUUACUGGGCGCCCGCCCUGCCCCUGGACCAAACAGAGUCCAAUUCGGGGACAACACUCCACCGACCUAAUACUUCAAGGAAAACCACACAAUCAAUGUCGGUUUGAUCCGACGGCCCAGAUUCACUUGAAGGGACUAUAAAACCAGACCCCCUGGCCUCUGGAGAUCAUACCUCUUCUACAGAAUCAAAGCUAGGGUUUCAAUUCUUCAUCCAAGUAGAGAGGAUCCCUUUAGUUCUUCUAGUUCUACCUCUAGUUCAUCUAGAUCUAGUUCUAGUUCAUCUAGUUCUAGUUCUAGUUCCUCUAGUUCUAGUUCUAGUUGUAAUAUAGAAAAUAGGGAGAGAGAAGAGGAGAGCGGAGGAGGAGCCGGAUCUGUCGGAUCUUCCUCAACAUUAUACUUUUGCAGCAUCUGGUUCGUUCUUCAUCGUUCUCCAGGUUCUUCAAUUCAUAAUUCCUGAGUUCUUUAAUUACUUUUAUUUACAUUCAAGUUAUUUAUUAGAUUCCCGCUUGUAUCAAGUGCUCUAGUAUUUAUAACGCUAGAGUAGUAAUUAAUAGAUUAGACAUGGUGUUUAGUCUUGCAAUUACCUAGAAGUGCACCCAAUCCUGCGGAUUGUUGUGGUAGCCUUAGGGUAGUGACAGCCCUAACGGUCGAUGUAUUCCACCUCGUUCGGAUCGGUGUUUGUAGGACCGUAGUCAGACAUUCCUAGCCCCCUUCUCAUCUCUUUCUGUGGUUAGUGGUCUGAUGUCCCGAUAUAGAUAAUCUUGAAGUAAUUCUUGAUUCUUAGAUCAACUAGAGAACUCUCAGGAAACUUCCUCUCUUCCCACCAAAAAUAAUUAUAUAGUUAUCCUUGGGCGAUCUUGGAUCUUAAUUAGUACACUCACGUUCCCUGUGGAAAAUCGAUACUCUGGAAUACUCCCAGGUGAAAGCUACAUCGGUAUCCGUGCGCUUGCGGAUUUUUCUGUUUGCGUUUAAAAUACCCAACAAGCUUUUUGGCGCCGUUGCCGGGGAACGGUAGCUGUGCUAGUUUCGAACCAAGUCGUCCGUGUAUCCUUUUUCUUUUCCUUUUUUACCGUACUCACCUUAUCAUUUUCACCAUACCACAUGGAUUUCACUCUAAGCAUUAAUGAGCAUGGAAUUUAUUUCAUAGCCAUUUCAUUUACUCCGUACUCAUAUGCAACAUCUUCACAAUCCAUUGGUCUCUCCAACAUCGCCACAUUCGAGAUCUCCAACCCCAACUUCCUUUCUAUUUAUAAAAACUUUAAAAGGGCGGUUGUCGAUGCAUAUGUCUAUAAUAAAUUUUGCAGAUCUCGUUGAGUUGAUCUUGAUGUAGGUCAGCGUUGGAGGGGAAACCACUUCGCUGACAUAAAUUAAUGGGUUCCCAAGGGCUUUUAAUUAUUUGCAACAUUACCUUGUCUAUUGAGCAUAUAAGGAUAAUUAUAAAAAAAUUCCUUCGGGUAUUCUUGUCACUAACCUUUCUAGGAUUGGAGCAAGAAGAUCGGGUGAAUGACAAGCACAAGGUAUGUACAACCAAUCAUCAUACAACAUUGAAUUAAAUUCAUCCAAACUUGAAUUUUACAAAAUUCAAGCUUGGGGGAGUACUUUAUAUAAAAACAUCCGUUGCCAUGUUGCUAUGUUGGUUGUCCCUACCUUUUAGACAUGCUCAAUUUGUUAAAUACUAAUCACACUACUUCAUCUCCACUUGAGUAGAUCUCUAUAAAAGCUCUCAUGGUACCUUUAUUUGCUUUAGUAUAUGUCUAGGUUGGAGUAGUUUCAUUUAUCUCUUAAUUAAGCAUGGUGCUUAGUUUAGGAAUGAUGAUCUUACUUCCAAAGGAUUUUAAAUUAAGCAUGAUGCUUAGGUUAAAAUUCCCUCCUAAAUCAAAUUAGACAUGGUGUCUAGGUUGAUCUUUGAGCCGAUAGUAUGCUAUAGUAGAUAUUGGAUAUUUUGUUGGCCUAACCCCUGUAGGAAAACUUUCAAUAUCGACCUGGGAAGUCCUGAGAUAAACUCACAUUGGAGACAAAGAGAGAGACACAUGAAGUUUAACAAUUUGCACGAGGAAGGCAUAGCUCACAAGAGAUGAUCCAUGGAGGGUGCCACAAACACGAUACACAACCGCUAAGAGAGGAAAGCUUCCACAAGGUGAUACUAUACCAUCACUCUUCAAGUAAGGUAAUAUCUUAAGGUACUUGACUAUCACUUUUAUAAGUUUCUCCUUGGUUCUGGCAUUCACAUGAAUAAAAGAGACAAACAUGUAUGAUUUACAAUUCUAGAUUAACCAAGCCAAACGAUUCAAUAUGUUUAGUCCUUUCACCUUUGUGAUCCCACACUAAAUGUUGCACACACAAUCUUUGGAAGAUAUAUAUAAAAAAAUAGAUAAGUAUAGAUAGAUUAUCUUUCCAUUAGGUUGAGUGAUCUGAUCUGACGAAUGUUUUAAAUGCUACACUCAUGAUCUUAUUAUCCAUCAACUUUGUCUUGCUCACUAUGCUUAAGGUUAGAGAAGAACAAAUACACUUUUGGUUCUGUUGGUGUUUUCCACCAACAGGGCCCAUGCACUUGAUCUCUGCCUUGUCUAUAUGAGUAGGUACACUUCGAGCAAAAUAUGAAGGAGUUUUACAACUCCCAGACUCCACCAAGUGAAGAACCUAGAUCUACGAGCACAAACACACUGGAGAUACUAGACACUCAGGCAAUCGCUGCCCUGAGAUGCUUGAGGACGUAACUACUGGAGUAACCCCGUUGUGGAAGUAAUUACUGACCUUCUGCCGGUCAAGAGAGACGAUCCAGGACGUCCCGUCAUCCCGAUCUCCAUCGGCAUGGUGAACUUCCUAGAAGCACUCUGUGACUUUGGCUCCAGCGUCAACAUUAUGCUCAGGGUACUUUAUGAAAAAUUCUUUACACACCCUUUCCUAGAGACAACCAUGUGUUUGCAGCUUGCACAUCGGACACUAAGUUUCCCAAAGGGAAUAGUGAAGAACCUCUACGUCCGAGUUGGUACCUUGUACGCCCCAGCAGACUUCGUGGUGAUAGAGACUGGUACUGAUGAGAGGGCACCCAUCAUCCUAGGGAGGCCAUUCCUGAACACCUCGGGAGCUAUCAUCUACGCUAGUGCUGCCAAGAUCAGUUUCUACAUCAAGGGGAGGAAGGAGACGUUUUCCUUUAAGAACAAGACUACACAAGUCUCAGAGCAAUCCCGACACGAACCAAGGAAGGGGACCAAUAGGAGGAAUAGAAACAAGCAAAUGUGGACCGAGUCAGCUAAGAUGGUCACUGCAGUUCAAGGAGGUCAAGAUCAUCUAUUUAAGUCACCGUUCCUGACCAAAAAGGACGACCCAGGCAUGCCAAGCAUCCAGUGCUCCAUUAAUGGAUACAACUUCCAGAAGACGCUUUGCGACACCGGGUCAGGCAUCAACAUAAUGGCCGCAGUCACCUAUCAACUCCUGUUCGGAACCAUACCCCUAAAACCGACAUACAUUUAGCUCCAAAUGGAAGAUCAGACAUUCUGAAAGAUUGAAGGUUAUUGACAUGGGAGAAGACGAGUACGAUCCACCCAUCAUCCUUGGAAGACAGUUCCUCAGCACCGUUAAAACAAUCAUCUACAUUGGAACCGGAGAAGUCCACAUGCACUUCCCCUCUGAGAAGGUACGCCGCUAUUUUACUGACCCUAACUAUAUAGUUGAAGACUUUAAGCAGGUCAGGACAAGAAGAAGAAGAUGCAACCGCAACCAGAGAAGGAAAAAUCAUCAAGGACGGAUGGGCAGACUAUGAAGGAGAAGUGGUAAAGUCUGAAGACAUACAACUUGAACAAAACUAUCCUGAGGAGACCGUAGCACCGAGUCAGGUGUGGAGAGAAAAGAUAGUUAUACACGAAGAGGAAGCACCGUCGGAACCACCGACUACGCCAUCCAGCGAAUCCCAGAAUGACUCAGGAAACGGAGAGUCCCGUUCGGAGGACUUAAAAACACCGAACGCCUUACCAAGAGGUAAACUUGGUAGUUAUCUUUUUUCUUUCAAUUAUUUAAAAUAGUUUGCUUAGUUAAUCAGGUUCACAUCAUCUUGAAAAGAAAAUAAAAAUGUUGAAGAUAGUAAGCCCCAUGUGAGUAUGCUCAUGGCAUAAAACCCAUAAGUACAUUCACUGUGGUGGCAUAAAAAUGAAAUAAAUAUAUUCCUGUCCUAUAAAAAUAAAAUUAUAAAAAUAAAAUUAUGAUCCUACUAAUGAGUAACAUUUAUUGAGGAGGCUCAACAUGAUAAAGGCUAGAUAUUUAUGCUAACACUUAACUAGUUCCACAAAGCUUUGUUGUCUAUUUGAGCUCCACAGAAUUCAAGGAUCAAAGAAUACUAGCAGAUGGAGGACAUCCUAAUCGCUGUCAGAGUGCUGCCGACAUUCAAAUACACCUCCGCCACCUGCUAGCCACAUCAGAAGAAAUUAUGUCGAAAUCCAGCUUGGGGGAGAGCAACCCCAUUUAUCCAGGUAAGUGCUCUACUCAUGUUUAUACUUUACUUAAAUAAUAAAAAAGAUGCACAAUCAUAAAAACCCAAAUAAAGAUUUUGUGCUUAUAUAUAUAUCUUUGCUUAGUUUGCUAAAUAAAUAAAUAAAUAAAAUUUGCUAUGAACCCUCAUGAUAAGCUCUCACAUGGAAAGAUGAAUAGUUGCUCUGCCAUGACUAGUUCUCAAAAUUGAGAUCUCUUUCAAGUUUAGGCAUCACUGUUAUUAAUUAAGAUUUGCUCUAAACCUGAACUUGUGGGAAGAGUACUUGAUCUGAAGUCUAAGUCGUUAACGGAUAUGAUAUGGGAAGGUUGAGCUGCUGUUUAUCUGUUCCUAGAGAUGCUAGAAUUCUGGAGAAUUUUAUCAUUGAAAAUCAUUAAAAUGUUGCAUGAUGAGUUCCUGUAUGAUGAGAGUUUAAAUUCCUACCACAGCCAUAUAUACAUGCUUGCUAGACUAUGAACCACACAUUUACUUUACUACUUAUGAGCAUUGAGUGUGGUCAAGCUGUGUAGACCCUUAGGAGCUUGUCAUGUGGUUAAAUCAAGAUUCACUUGCACGUUCACUCACACAUGCUGCUUCUACUCCGGAAGUACGCAUCCACAUAUAUCCACCCAUCUCCAUCUCCAGAACCACCCAAAAAUAUUCUACUCCUAAUCCGGGAGAGAAUAGCCAAAAAUAUUUCUGUUUUUCCCUGUGAAAUAAAUGCUCAAGUUAUCUUGUUACUACCACUUGCUAUAUUAUCUCAUGAGAUGAGUGCUCUAAUAAAAAAAAAGAAGAAAAAAAAUACGAGGAAAUAAAAAGGGGCAAGUGCCCGGAACCUCGAAAGAAAAAAAAAGUGAGACGAGAGGUAAAAAUGGACAAGUGUCCGACAGUAGAAUUAGGGGUACAAGAUACUCACCUGAGAGAAAAGAAAAAGAAAGUAUAGAGCAUCUCAUUCUCCUCAAAAAGUUUCAAAAGAGCAAGAAAGGUAUGUAUCCCCUCAAAAGAGCAUAAGUAGAAUUAGACUUUCACCAUUGUUAUCACCAUCAUCACCAUACACCAUUCAUUCGCCACACAUGCACAUCUUGAUUUGACUUAUUGACUUGUUCUUCUGGAUCCAUGGUUUGACUAUGCAAUAUAUGUCUUGUAAGUAUGUAUUAGCUGUCUCCCACCUAUGAGCUCCAGAUAUCAAAACCUUAUUAGAGUAGGGUGAGAAAGAAGGCAAUGUCACUAUGCCUCAUACCAAAAAUACCACAUACUUUGAGAGAAGGCAUACACCAUUACUGCCUUGGUAAGGAUCCAGAAAUACCACAAAAGAGAGACUAGAGAGAGUCAUACAAGGAAUCUCUGAGUUUUAUUUGAAAAUCUGCAAAAACUCCAGAGCUAUAGUUAAUCGAAGAACAAGAGACAUGGCGCUUGACUAGACUGUUCUAUCUUUUAACUACUCAAGACAAAAGUGACGGUUACAAGUCCCAUGGUGAAAGGUAAAUGAGUAAGUUUUAAGUCUUAAUAGUUUACUCUAACCAGAGAUGAGAUCUUGUUUAAAUGCAUGUGUAUCUUUAAGUUAUGAAACCACUGCAGAAACUCUUGAGUUCAUCUUUGCUCAGGGACGAGCAAAGGUUAAGCUUGGGGGAGCUUGUUGAUGGUCCUUAAUGCUCAUCUUUAACCAUCAAUUAAUCAUGGAAAAGGAUCCAAAUGCAACCAACACCUAGACUUAGGGUUUUAUCUGACAGAAUUCCACGAGUUUUGGUGUUUGUGUAUUUCUGCAGGGGGUUAUCAAGAAAUAUGGAAGAAAGGCCCACACGUCGGGUUUACAUAGAGAUAUUAACGUGCCGCGCAAUUUUCUACCAUCUAGAAGACUCCAGAAGCCACGGGAACGAACGGGAGACGUAACGGAGCCGGGCACUGGGCGCCUGCCCUCCCCCCUGGACCAAACGGAGUCCAAUUCGGGGACAACACUCCACCGACCUAAUACUUCAAGGAAAACCACACGAUCAAUGUCGGUUUGAUCCGACGGCCCAGAUUCACUUGAAGGGACUAUAAAACCAGACCCCCUGGCCUCUGGAGAUCAUACCUCUUCUAUAGAAUCAAAGCUAGGGUUUCAAUUCUUCAUCCAAGUAGAGAGGAUCCCUCUAGUUCUUCUAGUUCUACCUCUAGUUCAUCUAGAUCUAGUUCUAGUUCAUCUAGUUCUAGUUCCUCUAGUUCUAGUUCUAGUUAGUUCUAGUUGUAAUAUAGAAAAUAGGGAGAGAGAAGAGGAGAGCGGAGGAGGAGCCGGAUCUGUCGGAUCUUCCUCAACAUUAUACUUUUGCAGCAUCU
rnacentral:lncRNA from 1 species